rnacentral:rRNA from 1 species
GACAGAGGGUGCAAACGUUGUUCGGAAUUACUGGGCGUAAAGCGCGUGUAGGCGGCAAGGCAAGUCGGAUGUGAAAGCCCACGGCUCAACCGUGGAAGUGCACCCGAAACUGCCUAGCUAGAGUCUCGGAGAGGAAGGUGGAAUGCUUGGUGUAGAGGUGAAAUUCGUAGAUAUUCGGAAGAACACCAGUGGCGAAGGCGACUUACUGGACACAUAUUGACGCUGAGGUGCGAAAGCGUGGGGAGCAAACAGG